rfam:Penicillium marneffei ATCC 18224 scf_1105668340764 genomic scaffold, whole genome shotgun sequence.
AUCCUAGUGCUCGGGCAGUUCGAUUACCAGUGAGGAUUUCAUCCGAGGUAUCGAUUUUGCUAGUUGAAAACUACCUAGUUUGACCACUUCAACCGGCCUGCGGGUCAGUUGGGAAUUUUUGAUCUCACUGAAUUUUCGCUCAGCUAGUACUUGUUACUACUAGUG